CCCUUAGAUGUUCUGGGCCGCACGCGCGCUACACUGAUGCAUUCAACAAGUCUAGCCUUGACCGAGAGGUCCGGGUAAUCUUUGAAACUGCAUCGUGAUGGGGCUAGAUUAUUGCAAUUAUUAAUCUUCAACGAGGAAUGCCUAGUAAGCGUGAUUCAUCAAAUCGCGUUGAUUACGUCCCUGCCCUUUGUACACACCGCCCGUCGCUCCUACCGAUUGAAUGUGUUGGUGAGGAGCUCGGAUUGGCAGCAGUUGGUGGUUCGCCACCGGCUAUUGCUGAGAAGUCCUCCAAACCGCCCCAUUUAGAGGAAGGAGAAGUCGUAACA
rnacentral:rRNA from 1 species